GACGAACGCUGGCGGCGUGCUUAACACAUGCAAGUCGAACGGAAAGGCCCUGCUUUUGUGGGGUGCUCGAGUGGCGAACGGGUGAGUAACACGUGAGUAACCUGCCCUUGACUUUGGGAUAACUUCAGGAAACUGGGGCUAAUACCGGAUAGGAGAUCCUGCUGCAUGUUGGGGGUUGGAAAGUUUCGGCGGUUGGGGAUGGACUCGCGGCUUAUCAGCUUGUUGGUGGGGUAGUGGCUUACCAAGGCUUUGACGGGUAGCCGGCCUGAGAGGGUGACCGGCCACAUUGGGACUGAGAUACGGCCCAGACUCAUACGGGAGGCAGCAGUGGGGAAUAUAGCACAAUGGGCGGAAGCCUGAUGCAGCAACGCCGCGUGCGGGAUGACGGCCUUCGGGUUGUAAAACGCUUUCGCCUGUGACGAAGCGUGAGUGACGGUAAUGGGUAAAGAAGCACCGGCUAACUACGU
rnacentral:rRNA from 1 species